AAUAAGCGCAGUUUGCACUAUUCAUAUUCAGUGUUAACCGUUCGUCUUAUUUGAAAAUUUUUUAUGAUUAGUAUUUUUAUUGCUAUUAGAUGAUAAAACAUGAAUAGUACUUUAUGUGUGACUAAAUGUUUUUAAUUUUUUCACAAAUUCUUCAAAUAAGACGGACGGUCAAACGUUGAACGUGAAUAGUGCAAAACUGCACUUAUU
rfam:Oryza sativa (indica cultivar-group) chromosome 5, whole genome shotgun sequence.